ACAUGCCAGUUCUUGUUUUGUUCAGGGCUUGUAAUACCUGCUUGUGGCACACACUGAAUUCCAUGCACACUAUGAGAUGGACAGUUUCCAGCAUCAGAACAUACUGGGUCAGACCAAAGGUCCAUCUAGCCCAGUAUCCUAUCUUCUGACAGUGGCCAAUGCCAGGUGCCCCAGAGGGAAUGAACAGAACAGUCUUGGCGUUCACAACAUCCUCUGGCAAGGAGUUCCACAGGCUGACUGUGUGUUGUAUGAAAAAAUACUUUCUUUUGUUUGUUUUAAACCUGCUGCUUAUUAAUUUCAUUUGGUGACCCCUACUUCUUGUCUGCAGUCUGCGGGGUUUAUUUUAUUUCUGCAUUCAUUUACUAUAUUUUAAUAUAUGUUAAAGGCACAUACAGCCCUGAACAGAUGCUUUUGUGCUUGUAUCGAUUUAAAUAAAUAAAUUCUGCUGCUGGUGUACAAGCAAAAUAAAAUGUUUUCCAGGUA